rnacentral:rRNA from 1 species
GUGGGGGAUACCCUCCCGAAAGGGAGGCUAAUACCGCAUAGGUUGUGGUUUUUUGAGAUCACAACAAAGCCCGCAAGGGCGCGUGAAGAGGGGCCUGCGGCCUAUCAGCUUGAUGGUGAGGUAAUGGCUCACCAUGGCAUUGACGGGUAGCCGGUCUGAGAGGACGAACGGCCACAGUGGGACUGAAAUAUGGUCCACAGCCCUGCGGGGUUUAGCAUGGAGGAAUCUUGCGCAACGAUGGAGGCAUCGGCGCAGCAACGCCGCGUGGGGGAUGAAGGCUCUUGGGUCGUAAACCCCUGUUGCUCGGGAAGAAGUACCUACGGGGAGAGCCUGUAGGGAAGACGGUACCGGGCGAGGAAGCACCGGCUAACUACGUGCCAGCAGCCGCGGUAAUACGUAGGGUGCAAGCGUUAUCCGGAUUUAUUGGGCGUAAGGGCGCGCAGGCGGCCACCAGCAGUGGCCCGUGGAAUCUCUCCGCUUAACGGGGAGAGGCCGGGCCAAACGGGGUGGCUUGGGGCAGGCAGAGGCAUGCGGAACGGGCGGAGUAGGGGUGAAAUCCGUAGAGACCGUCCGGAACACCAGUGGCGAAGGCGGCAUGCUGGGCCUGAAGCCGUAAGGCUGAACCCGACGCUCAGGCGCGAAAGCGUGGGGAGCGAACGGAAUUAGAUACUCCGGUAGUCCACGCCCUAAACGAUGGCAACUCGGUGUCGGGGGUAUCGACCCCUCCGGCGCCUAAGUCAACACGGUAAGUUGCCCGCCUGGGGACUACGGCCGCAAGGCUAAAACUCAAAGGAAUUGAUGGGGGCCCGCACAAGCAGCGGAGCGUGUGGUUUAAUUCGAUGCAACGCGAAGAACCUUACCUGGGUUUGACAUGCACGUGGUACCGAGCCGAGAGGCAAGGGACCCGCAAGGGAGCGUGCAAAGGUGCUGCAUGGCUGUCGUCAGCUCGUGCCGUGAGGUGUUGGGUUAAGUCCCGCAACGAGCGCAACCCCCGUCCCUAGUUGCGUUUUCUAGGGAGACUGCUGGGAGAACCCCGGAGGAAGGUGGGGACGACGUCAAGUCCGCAUGGCCCUUACGCCCAGGGCUACACACACGCUACAAUGGCCGGUACAGUGGGAUGCGACCACGCAAGUGGGAGCCAACCCCCCAAAGCCGGCCUCAGUACGAAUCGGAGGCUGCAACCCGCCUCCGUGAAGUCGGAGUUGCUAGUAACCGCGCGUCAGCACAGUGCGGUGAAUGCGUUCCCGGGCCUUGUACACACCGCCCGUCACACCACGAAAGCCGGUAAGACUCGAACGCGCCGGGCUAACCCGCAAGGGAG